AGCUCGAUAGUAUAAGGGUAGUACAUCAGAUUUUGGUUCUGUCUGUCUAGGUUCGAAUCCUGGUCGAGCUA
rnacentral:tRNA from 1 species